GCAAUACGCAAAAAGAUAGGACUUUCUAAGAAAGUCAGAAGCUGGUCUCCUGCAGGCACAGGAAGCCAUCAAAGUCAAAGUGGCCCAAGAACUUGCCAGUCAAGAUGAAAAACUUCUUCUAAUGGAAUCCAGCUUGAAAGCUACUCAAGAGCAGCUAACUGAGCAAAUAGCAGAAACAGUUCGCCAAGAACAGAACAGUAGAAAACCCCAGGCAGAGCUGAAGACAGUGACAGAAGGGAUUAUUGCUUCUGAAGAAGAAAAAAAUGAUUACAAAUCUUCCAUUUUACCAUCUGUUACAACUUCAUUGCAAAAGGUGUGAAAGAAGAGGGAAAUGAAAUUGGUAAAUAUUUUGAAGCCAGACUGAAAUAUUUGGCCAAGUUUCUAGAACAGUGGAACUAUUUUAAUCAAAGGAAAUCUUACUUAUGUGGCCAAAAAAGAAAAUAACACGAAUUGUACUCUUUGAAGUAGAGUUAGUUGAUAAGCUUGGAAGGUGGAUCUCCCUCCCUCUCUCUGCAAUUCCCUGCUUUGGAAAGCACUGCCCUCUCCAGAAACCAUUGGAUCUGAAGAGUAUGUAUUGGAAAACCUCCCCUGAAUACCACAUGACGAACAACCAGAAGGUUUACACUACGGAAGACUGGAAAAUCAGAUCUGUGCGGGGAGACAAUGAAGACUAUGAAAACAAUUAGAAAAUAAGAAAAUGUCUGCAAAAAAAAAAAAGUCAUAAGGAAAGAAAUUGAAAAAGAUUUGAAAGCACGGUAUUUCGUUUCUGUUAGUUUGUUAGCCAAGCAAAAUUACACACAUGACACAGGCUUCUUUCAACUUGAUGUGCCGAAUGGCCGUGGUUAUGUCAUUAAACAAUGCAAUAAAAGGGAAAGAAACAUCAUGUUUUGCAGAUGAAGAAGAAAAAUAUUUGUUGGCUGGAGACGCUUGCAGAGUGUCUCCGGCAGAGAUGCGCCAUUGACGUUUGAAAACAUGAGCACUCUGACUUGCUUUCUAUAAUGAAAAAUUUACUUACAUAACUUUAUGCUUUUUGAUCACUGUUCCAAUAAGGAAUUGUGUCCUUGGAGGCAUCUAAUAAUCAAAGAAUUACCUCAUUCACACGAUAGAACAAUCACUGGAAAAUAUAAUGGCUAAUUGGGAUUCUUGAAAUUAAACGUGGUGGUGGUAUUACUUGUGAAAGGAGACUAAAUGGUUCAUGAUUUUAAUUUUAAUCCUAAAGAAUGACUUUCUAAUAGUCAUAAAUGCCUUUCUUUCAAAGAGGUGAUAGAUUUCCUGAAAAUGUUCAGUCUUAAUAAGGAUGCCUAUUUGGCAUGCAUGCUUGUCAAGGCAUUCAAGUAUCUGUGAAGUGGUUGACCCCCAAUUUGUAAGUUAUUUUGCAGUUUUCCAUAUCUGUCAGUCUAUGACCCCCCUUGACUUUUAAGCUGAAAUGUCGAUAUAUCAGAAAAACGGUAACUAUCCGGUUGCUAACUUUCUGUGGUCUCAACUUGAACUUUUCCCCACUGUCUCAGCUUACCCAUGCACCACCCACCACAGGACAAGUAUGCAAGUAAAUAGCCUACAAAGGAGAUGUAAUUUUCUAGUGCUGCAUUUCAUUUGUCUUCAGGUGACAUUGCAGUUCACCUCAUGGUCUAAGCUACCAACACGAGACUUAUCUCUAUUUCCCUCCAACCAUCUGACCUACCACAUUUCCUGAAGAUCUCCAGUGUCCACCCUUACCUAUCGCUUGUGAUUGACUUCCUUUUUCAGAUAAAAUUUAAGAUCCUCAGCAUGGAAAACAAAGUUGUUUGUAACCUGAUCCUGGUUAAUUGGUAGAGCAUCAUCUUUCACCACUUUUCCUAUGACAUGUUAUUUUCUAGCAAAAAGAACUUUCAGUUCCACAGACACACACACUGAGAACAAACAUAUCUGUGUCUUAAAGGCCUCGGUUCUUUUUCUAUAUAGAAAAUAUUUAUUCUACUUUCAACACUUGAUCAUAUCUUAACCAUUUUUCUCUAAUGACCUUUUUAUCCCAGUUCAAUACCUAAUAAAUCAUUACAUUGUCACAAAUACAUAGUAAGUAUCUGUUGACCUUCAAAUAAUGCUACCUCUGAAGCAUCAUUGUAGAAACAAAAUAUGAUGUACAUGUGUAAUUUUGAAUUUUCUAGGACUUAUGUUAAUAAAAGGCAAAAAAAGGAGGAGGUGAA